rnacentral:tRNA from 1 species
GGAACGGUGUCCGAGUUGGUCGAAGGAGCACGAUUGGAAAUCGUGUAACGUGGGAAACUAUGUUCGUGGGUUCGAAUCCCACCCGUUCCGCCA